GCACCCCACUGUGCUCUCAAUAAAUGUGUUUCCUGUCUUAACAAAAACUGAUGGAUGUGCUACUAAUAUAAGGAGGGGCGAGUGUUGGGCAUCCUGUCUCGCUGGGUAGUGUGAUGGGUGGGAGGGCGGGGGCCGACUUGAACCCCACACACCUGCCAGCACCCUACCCUGCCCACUGGGCUCUCAAAGGGGAGGGUGGCUCUUGGAGGUCCGGAGGUUGACACGUGCUUGGAUGAACUAACAUCUCUCUGGUCCCCUCCUUCUACUGAUCGUGGGAUGCCAGGCUUCUUUCCAGAAGGGACUGUACAGGAGGAGGUGGUGGUGGAGAGGGGUUCUGAGUUGAGCUCACUGCGUGAGUUCCUGGAGCCCCAGAGAGGAAGCUCCCCUGGGGCUCUGAGUCUUCCUCCUCCUCUUCUCACAUUCCCCAGGGCUGGGCUGAGUGGUCAUCAUGCUUGAACUGAUGUUGAGCGAUGGCCAAGAUGGCCCAGCCAGGCUGUGGCUAAACUCAUUCCUCAAAAUGGCUCCUGAGCAAGGCUCUGUGUGUAGGCUCCUGAGCAGGGCUGCAAAGGUGGAGCCUCAGACCCAUCCCUGCCCGCGGCAGCAAUGCCGGCUGAGCUGGGGAGGUGAGCCUUGCACCCCUCAGAGUGGCUUUCUGUGAGCAGCUUGUGGCUGGGCUGAGCGGGGGCACUGAGGGGCAAGGGGCCAAAGGGCACUAGACCCAAGUCAAGACGGAUCCUGAGUCUGCACACCUGGCUUUGCUGCAGCGGAUCAUAAGGACAUGCUCCCUAUGGGGAAGGAGAGACCGACUGCUUUUGCUGCCACAGCCACCACGGCCAUCACAGCUACCACGGCCGCCACUGCCACUGCCACUACCACCACCAUCACAACCAUGGCCGCCACUGCCACUGCCACCUCCUCCCUCUUCUCCUUGCUCUCCUCCUCCUCCUCUUCUUCCUCCUCUUCCUCCCUCUUUUCCUUCCGUCUCCUCCUCCCUCCUCUUCCUCCUCCUCUUCCUCCUCCUCUUCCUCCCACCUUCUCUUCUUCCUCUUCCUCCUCCUCCUUCUUCCUCCUCUUCCUUCCUCUUCUUCUUUCUCCUUCCUCCUUCUCCCUCCCCCUCUUUCUCCCUCUUCGCCUUCCUUUCCUGCCUUCUUCUCCUCUUCCUUUUCCUCCUUCCUUUUUCCUUUCCUUCUCCCUCCUCCUCCUCUUUCUCCCUCUUCUUCCUUUUUGUCCUCCUCCUUCCUUCCUUUCAUUUGUUUCUCCCUCCUCCCCCUCCCCCUCUCUCUUUUUCUUCUCCUUCUUUCUCCUCCUCCUCCUGCUUCUCCUCCUCCUCUCCCUCACAGGGAGGUACCUCAAGAGAACUGCAGGCAAGUCCAGCCGUAAGUGCACAGGACUGAGCAUGGCCCCUUUGCUGAGAGAAACAACCGCCUUGGGGAUCAUGGCCAUGACCUGGCAAAGGAGACCUGACCCCAGCCCCUGAUGGAGAUGGUGACAUGGAUGGCGCUGAGUCAGCAGUGAGAAGAGGAGGAGAUGGCCUUCAGAGUGCACCCCACCUAGAUGAGUCAGUCUGUGCUCAGCCAAGACCAGGCUGAGAGUCCAGGAGAGUCCUGUGUGGUGAGCAGAGUAUCAGCCUUUGAUGAAGCUCAGGUGUCCAGAGCAAGCCACCCACUGAUGUUCCAGAGCCAAGACCCCAGCUCCAGCCUCUGUUGAACCUUGGGCAUUCAGAAUGAGCCACCCAACUUUUGACGUCCCAGAGCUAAGACUCAGUUCCAGCCUCCAAUGAAACCCAGAUGUUCAGAAAGAGGGACCUCCUUGAUGUUCUAGAGCCAGGACUCCAGAUCUAGCAUCAGGUGAUGCUCAGAGGUCUAGAAAGAGGAACCUGCUUAAUGUUCUAGAGCCAAGACUCCAGAUCCAGCAUCUGAUGCUCAGAUAUUCAGAAACAGGGACCUCCUUGAUAUUCUAGAGCCGGGACUCCAGAUCCAGUGUCUGAUGCUCAGAUAUCCAGAAAGAGGGACCUCCUUGAUUUUCUAGAGCCAGGACUCCAGAUCCAGCAUCCGAUGAUGCUGAGAUGUCCAGAAAGAGAGACCUUGAUGUUCUAGAGCCAGGAUUCCAGAUCCAGUGUCUGAAGAAGCUCAGAGGUCCAGAAAGAGGGACCUCCUUGAUGUUCUAGAGCCAGGACUCCAGUUCCAGCCUCCAGUGAAGCUCAGAUGUCCAGAAAGAGGGACUACCUUGAUGUUUUAGAGCCAGGACUCCAGCUCCAGCCUCCGAUAAAGCUCGGAUGUUCAGAAUGAAGGACGUCCUUGAUGUUCUAGAGCCAAGACCCAGCUGUAGCACUUAACAAAGCUCAAGUGUCCAGAAAGAAGUGCCUCUUUGAUGUUCCAAAGCCAAGAUAACACCUCUAUCAUUUGAUAAAGAUCAAGUGUACAGGAAGAGGGACCUCCUUGAUGUCCCUCUUCAGCCAGGACUUCAGCUCUAGCUUUCGAAGAAGCGCAGAUGUCCAGAAAGAGGGACCUCUUUGAUGUUCUAGGGCUGGGACCCAGUUCCAACAUCUGACAAAGCCCAGAUUUCCAGAAAGAGGGGUCUCCUUGAUGUUCCAGAGCUGAGGGACCUCCGUGAUGUUCCAAAGCUAGGACUUUAGCUUUAGUUUUUGAUGAAGCUCAGAUGUGCAGAAAGAGGGACUUCCUUGAUGUUCUAGGGCUGGGACUCAGCUCCAACCUCUGACAAAGCUCAGAUGUCCAAAAAGAAGAGUUUCCUUGAUGUUCUCGAACCCGGACUCUAGCCCUAGCCUCUAAUGAAGCUCAGAUGUCCAGAAAGAAGGACUUUCUUGAAAUUCUAGAGCCAGAACUCCAGCUCCAGCCUCUGAUGAAGCUCAGAUAUUCAGAAAGGGGGACUUCCUUUAUGUUCCAGAGCCAAGACCCAGCUCCAACCUCUGACAAAGCCCAGAUGUCCAGAAAGAGGGACCCCCUUGAUGUUCUAGAGCUGGAACCCAGAUCUAGCCUCUGAGGAAACCCAGGUGUCCAGAACUGGUGAGAAAACCUCAAGCCUCUGGGCUUUCCUGGGCAGGGAUAGGUGUGGCCAAGUUUGUCUUGAGACUGGAGAGGGCAGACAACACUCUUCUGUGCAAUGGUGGCCUGCAACAUUUCUCAAUAGUGACACUGGCAUAAAGAGGGGUCCCAGUUGCAGGAGAGAUGUGGAGAGGGGACUCCUUGUGGGAGGAAGCGUAUUAGGAAGAACAUGGCAGCAGAAAUCAUGGAUUGCAGAUGGGAUGCCUUCGAUGAAGCUUGCCUGAGGGCGUGUAACACCGCAGCAAAGCGCUGUUUUAUGCCUUUUAGUUUUGCUGGACUCAUGGCUGGCCACACAUCAGCCUUGACCCACAGGGCUGCCAAAUUGGCUGGACCCCGGAAUGUAACCCAAGCUAGUUUCUGCGGCUUAGCUCCUCUCCCAGUGGAAGGUGCUAAACCCCCACUUGCCAGCCCAGUGUAAAGCUGCAACCUUGGGGCGAGUCAGAUCUGGUUGCCUCCUUCUAGCAAUGGAAGUUCAUCUAGGUUAGGACUGGGGCAGGGCCAGGCUAUCGCAAUGGGUGUGAAGACAGCAUGAACGGCAAAGGAGGCCCCCAAAUACGUGGGGAUAUGGAUGCUAAUGUCUCAGGUGAAGCUGCAUUUGGGGCUGCAGCCCUGCCCUGAGCACCUUGACUCUACCACUUGCCCUCCAGGAGCUCCAUUGACACCAGACUGUCCAUUAAGCUGGAGAGAGAUGGCAAGUAAAGAAAUAGGCCAGGAAUACUGACUUGCUCAGAAGCCAUAAGAGCAUUACAGGUAGAUAGAAUCCAAGGGACGAAAAAUGUAGACUUGGGGAGGAGAGAGCGCUGAAUGCUAUUUGGGAUGUUUGAGCUCUGCAAUAUCCAGAAUGGGAGAGAAUCUUAUCUCACCAGUUUUGCCAUUCAGACACAGCUAUGAGAAUGGAUCCUAGAGGACGACUUACUUCAUUCAGCUGGAGUCUGGAGGAAAAGGGAGCAGCUAACAAGCAUUCUUGAAAAACACGCCCUAAUGAUGCCACAUCAUUCUGGUGAUAUUUCCUAGAAACUCAUUAGAACUUGGAACUGUGCAAACAAGAACUUCUUUGAUGAGUAACUGGAACUCGAGAGUUGGGAUUGCAUGAAGGAGAAAUGUCAUCUUAGAGGACUGCCUCCCCGCUCCCCACCCUCAUUUGGCCAAGUUAUUUUAGGAAAUUUCCAAGAACAAGCAAUUAGAAUCACUCAUUGCUGAUUUCCUAGAAGUCUCCACAACAGAUUCUGAAGCCAAAUGCAAAAUGGGUGAGCCCAGCUUGUGAGGCCUGUGAAGAAAAUGUGAAUCCUACUCUAUAAAGUCGUUGGCCUCAGGGAGCAAGACUCAGAAGUAGAGCUGCGUUAGGGAAAAUGAGGACAGAACAGAAGGUCUAGAUGGCCAGGCAGAGCCCCGUGGCAAAGACGAGCCUUGAGAUGACUGUGGGCCCUCCCCUGCCGGCAGCCACAGCCUGUCUCAGACUCACUCCUCAGAGCCUGUUUCUCCAUCACUCCCUUUGUCCUUCUGCCCAUCAGAGGGAUGUUCUCCAGGCUUCUGUGUUGCUAUCUGGCUUCCGUGGGCCAUGGCUUGAGCCAGGCUGUGGGCUCUGGGUGACUGUCCCUGAGGUAUGGUGAGCUUCCUGAGUGGUGGCCACUUGGCAAAGUGAGUCCAUCGCAGGGAAGUGGGCAAUUACCGGGGAGAGGAAAAUCAUGGCUUUCUUGCUUCCCAAGAGGGGCUGAACUGGGCUCCCAAUUUCCCUGACACUCCCAGCUCAGCUUGUAGAGGAAUCAGGGAAUGGAGAUGCCUUGGGCUGCAAUUUUCUUUGAGAUGACUGUAAUUUUCCCCUCUUAUCCUCACCGGUAGCUGCUGUGGGACAGAGGCAGGCGGGGCUCUGAAAGCUUUUCCUCAAGCUCCCCUUCAGUGCAGAGCUGUUUUCACGUGCCCACCAGCCAGCAGGAGGUUAUGCUUCUGAUUGUGACCCCCUACUUCUCAGAAGACACUUCGGACUCCGCCCCCGCCUCCAUACCCAACAAUGCCGUGCGGCAUUUCGUGUGACUGGAAUGGAAAUCCAACCUGGCCCUCGAGGGCAGUGAAGCCAGUCCGAAUCGCAGCAGAUGAUGCCCUCUGCAGAGGCCGGGCUCAUGAACGGCCUGGGUGGGUGGAGGUGGGUUGACAGGAUGGGGUGGGCAGGGCAGGGGAGUGCAGGACAGUGACCAGCUGGUCCAGAGAGUCCUGCCAAAUUCAAUCCAGAUAUUACUGGAUUAAUCAGCAAAGGAGGGGGAGCCCCGCCCCCACCCCAUGGAGACACUGAUGAGCACCAUGGGAUAGCUGUGGCUUCCCAGGCAGCCCACGGACCUACAGCUGCCUAUCAGCAGCCAGGGCCUUCUGGGCAGAGCGCCUCGGACCCCCAAUUGCCCUGGGAGGGUGGGUUUUUGGUGUCAGCUUAGUUCAGCUCAGCUGGCUUUUAUAGAGCAUGCACUGGCUGGCUCACUGGGGUGAUGCUGUCAGCGGGUAGAGGCUCUCCCAGGGAUUCUCGAGUGUCUACAGGGGGACUGGGAUUCCCUUCCUGGGACCAGGAGGCGGGGCUCUUCCUGAGAUGCUAUGGCUGGAGGCCCUCCUCCCCCAGAAUCACAGGGCCAUAUGCUAGGAGGAAAGACCCUGUAAACUCCAGACCUGACCUCCUGGGACCUGGGGUUAGUCACCCAGGUGGGGAUCUGCCUCUCUUGCCCUUCAUUUAGAAUUGGCUGUGAGCCUCUAAGGGCCAGCCCUUAGCCAAAAGCCUCCAUGCAGCCCGGUGCUCCUGCAGAAGUGCUGCCUCCGGAGGGUUUCUGCAACUUGGGACUCCUGGCAGUGGGGCUAGUGUCCUCCAUUCACCCCUGCUCCUGCACAGUCCCCAGCCCUAGGUGUGCACCCUCUAGUGUGGGGCGAAUGGGCUCCUAUGCCCAUUAGCUCUGGGUUAGGCUCAGAUGUAUGUGCCGGGCUCCUGUUAUGGGAGGGCUCAGAGCACAGGGGCCCCUGGCCUGGGAGCGGGUAGCUGUGUGCAUGUGUGUGGGUGUGUGUGCCUCCAUGAGCCUGUGUGUGCCUUCGUGAGCCUAUGAGUGUGUGAGCAUGCCCGGUGUGCACGUGUGUGGGUGCGUGUGCCUGCCAGUGCAUGCGUAUGCAGCUCUAUGCUUGUGUGUAUGUGCAUGCGUGGGAGACAGAUGGUGGAGAGCGACUGGGAGUGGGCGACAGUGGAUCUGUCCCUGAGCCUACAGCACCCUGGGUGCCGAUGCCACAUCCACAUCCUGCCCCCAGACCUGCUUCCCGGAGUCACCCAUGCCUAUAUCCCCUGUGGCUUUGCCCAUCAGUCCGUCUUUGUGUCCAGGUCUGCCUCAGUGGACAGAAGAGUGAGAGUCUUGGCCCUUGAACCCCUCCUCUUCUCCAUCCUUCUCCACCUCCCCCCCUGCCUCUUCUUGGCAAAGCAGCUGGAGUGAGACCUGGGCUGAGGCCAAGGUUGGGGGUACUGUGCUCCCAUGAGCUGCAGACACCGUCCUCUCACCGGCUCUCCCUCCUGUGUCCUGGAGUGGAACCCACCCCCGUUGCCCACCCCUUAACCCCUGCCCCCUUGUCUGGGGUUCUGGCCAUCCCCCCCACCCCCACCCCCUAGUCUCCAGCUUCCAAGGCAGCUCCCAAGACAAUGGGUUGAGCAAGGGGCAGGCUGGGUCCUGUGCCUAGCCCCUCAGCUCCCCCAGCCACUGCAUGGGGCUUCUGCUGCUCUGUGGCACUGGCUGGGGAACCUCAGGACCAGAUGGGGCCUCCCAGGCCUCGGCUACUGCAUCACGCUCUGGACAGGGCCUUGGGCCCGGACGACGCCUGUGCCCGCCAUGCCCUCUGGCCAGAUGCUGCACCCUCCACCCAGCCUCCAGGUGAGUUCUCGUCAUACCCACGGUGCCCCACCCUCCUUGGCAUCCAGGUGAUGCAUCUACCUGAGGUUCCGAAUCCAGGGGGGAAAUGUUUGCCUUUGCACUGCAUAUUUACACACUGAUUUGAAUUGAGGGGUUCCCAAAAUGACAUCAGGCUUUUUCUGAAAAAGUCUGUUUUGCCCGAUUGGUUUGCCAGUGAGGUUCAGAGUGGACAAAUCAAAAUGAGCUGAUUCCAGACCUCUGAGGUUUUGACAAGUGCUCCAUACCUAGCAUUUGUCACAUCUAUAUGCUAUAGUAUAUGCCAGAGGCCACCUCAUUGCAACUUUGUAAACUUCCUAUUAACUUUUACGGCCCAUUUAAAAAUGGGCUAUGGGAGGGGGAGAUCCGUGGCUUUCCAAAAUCCCUUCAUGGGGUCUGUAAGCAGAAAUGUCUGCUGCCCCCUGUUCCAGGGCACGUCCCACUCCUCACUGGCAGGGCUCUCGGGCUCACUGAUUAUUCUCUGAGGAUCACACAGGGUCGAUUUUCUGUGAAUGCAAGUGCGUGGGGUGGGUGGUGGGGCGUCGAGCUGAACGCUGGUCUGGACAGGAAAGGCUCCUGCUUCAUGUCCCACCUUGACCCUCAGAGGUUUCCAGGCCCAGCUCUUGGGCCCUGGCUUCCUCCUCUCCCUCUCGUCUUUGGGGGGGGUCCAUCUCAUGCAUGUCUGUUACCAUGGACUCCAUCAUCACGGCUCCCAUCACCUCCAUCUGGCCUCUGUCAUCCUGGGCACAGCAUCUCAUCUCUGGCCAUUCCAGCCUCCAUCACCCGCCUCACCUCCAUCAUCCUCGCUUCGGGGCUCAUUCUGGCCUCCAGGGCUUUGUACAUGGUAGGCUUUCAUUCAUUCGUUUGCACAUUCGGUGAAGGUCUACUGUGUGCCAGGCCCUGUGCCAGGCAUCGUGUAGAUGGACGUUGCCCUUGUGAGUGCACGCCUCGGGGAGACGCACGCCAGCCGGUGGAUGGCAGGAGAGCCUGGGCCAGGGCUGGGGGUGGGGGCGUGGGUGUGGGCAU
rnacentral:lncRNA from 1 species